rnacentral:rRNA from 1 species
AUCUAUGGCCAUGCCACCCUGAACACGCCCGAUCUCUUCUGAUCUCAGAAGCUAAGCAAGGUUGGGCCUGGUUAGUAUUUGGAUGAGAGACCACCUAGGAAGACCAGGUGCUAUAGGUG